rnacentral:tRNA from 1 species
GCCCCUGUGGUGGAAUUGGUAGACGCGCCGGACUCAAAAUCCGGUUCCGAAAGGAGUGUCGGUUCG